CCAUCCUCCAAGGCUAAAUACUCCUGACUGACCGAUAGUGAACCAGUACCGUGAGGGAAAGGCGAAAAGAACCCCGGCGAGGGGAGUGAAAAAGAACCUGAAACCGUGUACGUACAAGCAGUGGGAGCACAGGUUUACCUGUGUGACUGCGUACCUUUUGUAUAAUGGGUCAGCGACUUAUAUUCUGUAGCAAGGUUAACCGAAUAGGGGAGCCGGAGGGAAACCGAGUCUUAAYYGGGCGUUAAGUUGCAGGGUAUAGACCCGAAACCCGGUGAUCUAGCCAUGGGCAGGUUGAAGGUUGGGUAACACUAACUGGAGGACCGAACCGACUAAUGUUGAAAAAUUAGCGGAUGACCUGUGGCUGGGGGUGAAAGGCCAAUCAAACCGGGAGAUAGCUGGUUCUCCCCGAAAGCUAUUUAGGUAGCGCCUCGUGAAYUCAUCUCCGGGGGUAGAGCACUGUUUCGGCUAGGGGGCCAUCCCGGCUUACCAACCCGAUGCAAACUGCGAAUACCGGAGAAUGUUAUCACGGGAGACACACGGCGGGUGCUAACGUCCGUCGUGAAGAGGGAAACAACCCAGACCGCCAGCUAAGGUCCCAAAGUCAUGGUUAAGUGGGAAACGAUGUGGGAAGGCCCAGACAGCCAGGAUGUUGGCUUAGAAGCAGCCAUCA
rnacentral:rRNA from 1 species